rnacentral:ncRNA from 1 species
AAAGUUUGAGGAUAGAAAGGCAGCUAUCACGCCUAUAAGUGAAAUGCUAAAUUGUCCAGAAUGUGGAUUGUUUUUACAAUCAUCACCUCGUUGUAGCGAGACGGAAAGGUGUAAGUAUAGAGGGUAACAGCUUAAAGGUCUUACAAGAGAUGUGGGGUACGCCGUCCCACCAAGCUUU